rnacentral:rRNA from 1 species
UACAGAGGGCGCGAGCGUUGUCCGGAAUCACUGGGCGUAAAGGGCGCGUAGGUGGCCACUAUAAGGCCGCGGUGAAAGUUCGGGGCUCAACCCUGAAUCUGCCGCGGCGACUGUAGGGCUUGGGCACCGUAGAGGCAGAUGGAAUUCCGGGUGUAGCGGUGGAAUGCGUAGAGAUCCGGAAGAACACCGGUGGCGAAGGCGGGUCUCUGGACAGUUCCUGACGCUGAGGCACGAAGGCCAGGGGAGCAAACGGG